GGUCUCGUAGCUCAGCGGAAGAGCACUCGCUCACACGCGAGGGGUCGCUGGUUCGAACCCAGCCGGGACCACC
rnacentral:tRNA from 1 species